UACGUAGGGUGCGAGCGUUGUCCGGAAUCAUUGGGCGUAAAGCGUGCGUAGGUGGCUUCAUAAGUCCGUUGUGAAAGUCAAAGGCUCAACCUUUGAAAGCCGAUGGAUACUGUGGAGCUAGAGUACGGAAGAGGCGAGUGGAAUUCCUGGUGUAGCGGUGGAAUGCGCAGAUAUCAGGAGGAACACCAAUAGCGAAGGCAGCUCGCUGGGACGUUACUGACACUGAGGCGCGAAAGCGUGGGGAGCGAACAGG
rnacentral:rRNA from 1 species